UACGUAGGGUGCGAGCGUUGUCCGGAAUUAUUGGGCGUAAAGGGCUCGUAGGCGGUCUGUCGCGUCGGGAGUGAAAACUCAGGGCUUAACCCUGAGCCUGCUUCCGAUACGGGCAGACUAGAGGUAUGCAGGGGAGAACGGAAUUCCUGGUGUAGCGGUGAAAUGCGCAGAUAUCAGGAGGAACACCGGUGGCGGAGGCGGUUCUCUGGGCCUUACCUGACGCUGAGGAGCGAAAGCGUGGGGAGCAAACAGG
rnacentral:rRNA from 1 species